rnacentral:rRNA from 1 species
UACGUAGGGGGCAAGCGUUGUCCGGAAUCAUUGGGCGUAAAGCGCGUGUAGGCGGUUCGUUAAGUCUGCUGUGAAAGUCCAGGGCUCAACCCUGGGAUGCCGGUGGAUACUGUCGAGCUCGAGUCCGGAAGAGGCGAGUGGAAUUCCUGGUGUAGCGGUGAAAUGCGCAGAUAUCAGGAGGAACACCAAUGGCGAAGGCAGCUCGCUGGGACGUGACUGACGCUGAGACGCGAAAGCGUGGGGAGCAAACAGG